rnacentral:rRNA from 1 species
UGGCGAACGGGUGAGUAACACGUGGGUGAUCUGCCCUGCACUUCGGGAUAAGCUUGGGAAGCUGGGUCUAAUACCGGAUAGGAGCCAUCUUUAGUGUGGUGGUUGGAAAGUUUUUUCGGUGUAGGAUGAGCUCGCGGCCUAUCAGCUUGUUGGUGGGGUAAUGGCCUACCAAGGCGGCGACGGGUAGCCGGUCUGAGAGGGUGUACGGCCACAUUGGGACUGAGAUACGGCCCAG